AAAGGGAGCACCAGAGAGGCAAAGCUGCAUUUGCAAGACUUCCCUGGGAGACAUUUUGUUCACGCAACAAGCAACGUUUUCACUCACUUAACUUGGCAUGUGCCGAAGAACAAAAUGGCUGCUGUUGUUUGUUCCCCGAGGGACUCGUGGCACACAUUCCAGCUUUAUCUGACACACUUAGAUGGCGAGAUUAGAUUUUAUUCAUAGGUGCGAAUUAACCACCCGCAAAGGAAUUGCUGCAGCGGGUAAGGCUUUUCUAUUCUUCGCCAGUGGAUUUCGAAAAAGACAUGAAACAAGGCUCGUAUCCUGAUUUCUUUUGAAAUCAAAGCAAGAAACGCACCAGGAGUGUUUUUAACUUUUCAGUUUUUGCUCUAUGCCUUUUUUUUUCUUCAAUCAAAUGAAACAACUAAAGGGACAACAUCCUCUGAGACUGUUGAUUCCAUUAUUUUGCCGGGGCAUGCACAAGAUAAGCUUGAAAGUAAACAAGCAACUGUCUUCUAACAGCUGAGAGCUGAAUUUGGUGCAAACCCUUCCUAUUGGCUUAAGCAGAGUGUACCUAAUAUUGUGGACUUCAGGUCAGUUCUUGGCACAGCUCCAUUCAUUCCCAUACAGGUGUUGUACGUUCAUAUACUUCCACAGUGUUGAUGCUUUGCAAUCUCCACAUCGUGAUUGUGCAUGUAUGAACCGGUUUUUAGGGAGCAGCUGCCCUAAUGUUUGUAUAAAAACAUACGUUUGCUUCUCCAUAUACUUACACAACAAGCACACACUAAUCCCUUUGUUUCCACAAACAGCAUGGAGAAAAUACAGACAACCGCCCCGAUUUCGUCCCUCCCUCCCCUCAGACAUGCGGGCACAUGCUUGUACAUGGCAACCUCGAUUUGGGCUGACUUCUCCCCAUCCCCUCCCUCCCUCCUCCAUGGAUGAGUGCAGCGUAACUCGGGGAGAAAAAAAAAAGGAGAGGCAAAUGGCGGAGGGAUGCUGUGUGCAAUUACUGCUAAUGAUAUGGCUCCAUGCAAGCUGCGGCCAUAAUUAACUUGAGUGGAAGCGCGGCGGGCCUGCUUGAGAAGAAUGUCGCUCGCAGAAAAAGGUCUCGAGCCAGGAAAGCAAACCUUAGAUGACAUAGCUGCUUUCCUAAAUUAGUCACCAUAGGUGGCCCAGUGUGUAGCUGUACUUUUGACUUCUUACUUUGUCUUCUUUUUUUGCAUCAUGAGAUGAAGAGCCCUAGAACCUUCUGUUGUUCAAAGAUACUCCGUCUGAUGUGGAAAACCAUGCAGGUUCAAGAUGGUAUAUGAGCAGGAAUCAACUCAACGGGAUUGUGGGACGUAGUACCUCGAAAACUUCAGCUCAAAAGCUGUGAAGGAGGAAGCGGUGAGGACAAGAGGGGCCCAGACAGCUGUCACCUCCCUCUGUGAAGAGACACACAUUGAUGGACCGGGGAUGGAUUGGGAGCACACAGCUGCCAUGGAGUUGUCACUCACGUCUUAUCAUGCCCUCUCAUCUGGACUGCCUAAUGGACACUGUGGACCAUUUGGCAAAACCAGUACUGGUCCAAGUCUUUAGGGGGCCCUCAGCAGAAUUCUAUUUGGGGCCCUCUACUGUGGUGUCGCCCGUGCUUGACUACCACUGAAACACGUUUGUAUUGAUGACACGAUUGUGAUGUUUGUGUUACCUCUUUCAUUCUUUUCAUAUGAAGAAAAAAAUCAUCCUUUUUUUUGGGUGGGGGGGCAAACAGGCAAUUAGGUCGCUUGAGUCAUUGGGCACAAUUGAUGCACGUGACAACCUAAGCACUGCAUAUCAUUUGAAAACCUUUAUUUAGAGUCAGAGGGAUCUGAAGUCAAUAACACUGACCCUUGGGCAAUAAUAGUCAGCUUGUGCACGAGAGCCAUCAAUAAGCGUCUGCAAAUUUAAAGCAAACGCCUUUCAACAACAGUAAAGUCCAUCCAACACUGACAUCUAGUGGUCAAAUCGAGUUAUACAACACCUACACCAACAACAGUCAAAAUGAAUGAGAAACUAUUUUCAAAUAUAUAUAAAUGCUUUACAUACAUAGCAUGAAAAAAAAGACCUGCGGCAUUUACUUUGGCAGUUUGCGAGACUUGAUGUAGGAAGAGUAUUUGAUAGUUCCUAGUUCCAAAGCAGGGCAUGUAUGCAGCUGAAUAAACAGUGCGAAUCAAACAAUACUCCAAUCGAGAUCCCAUUCUCCAGGAAACGUCAAAUAAAUAGAAAACAGGUUUUGAAUCCUCAUUCACGGUGUUUUCCUUUCAAUGCACUUCAAUUCAUUACACCAUCAAAGAAUCAUGGGAACAAUGCUCUAGUCUUAAAACAACAGACUAGCAGCAGUGGAAAUGCAAGAAAUAAACGGAAUUAAAUAACAUAAUACUAAUCUUAGCCAAAAUGAGACUUACUGUAGUGUUCUUGAUUUAUUUUCCCAUUCCUUUUCUUUUCCUCCAAAACGUUGUCAUACGUGUUAUUUUCUUAUGUUUGUUCAUAAAAUGCAUUUAUUAUUAGUAGUACAUAAUCCGACACAUUCACUGCAACAAGUCUUUACUAUGCGCCUAAUUUAGUGUCUGUGCAAACUUUCAUUGUAAUCUUACCCUACAAUCCUGCUUUAAUAUAACUUGUACAGUACUUGGCCCCCGGAUAGAAAGUAAGACAUUCAAUUGAGCCUUGAGGAAAGAAAUGUUUUCUUUCUGUGCGCGUAUAUUUCUAACAACGUACUAUAAAUUCUGCAUUUCCAAAGGUUAUUUACACAAUAUAUUUGCCAAUAGUAAACACUUGGAGAUCAUGUUUGGCAAUUCAAAUGUAUGUUAAUAGGUGAGUUUUUAGCAUGACUAAUUUCGCCCCUCAUAUUUUGUCCCCUUGAUUUAUAUGCUCAAGUCAAAAAGGUAAAAAAAGCUAAGAAGGAAUCAAAUAA